GAGUUUGAUCCUGGCUCAGGAUGAACGCUGGCGGCGUGCUUAACACAUGCAAGUCGAACGAAGCACUUUUGAUUGAUCCUUCGGGUGAUUGAUGAGGUGACUGAGUGGCGGACGGGUGAGUAACGCGUGGGCAACCUGCCUUGUACAGGGGGACAACAGUUGGAAACGACUGCUAAUACCGCAUAAGCGCACAGCUUCGCAUGAAGCAGUGUGAAAAACUCCGGUGGUACAAGAUGGGCCCGCGUUGGAUUAGCUAGUUGGUGGGGUAACGGCCUACCAAGGCGACGAUCCAUAGCCGACCUGAGAGGGUGACCGGCCACAUUGGGACUGAGACACGGCCCAAACUCCUACGGGAGGCAGCAGUGGGGAAUAUUGCACAAUGGGCGCAAGCCUGAUGCAGCGACGCCGCGUGAGCGAAGAAGUAUUUCGGUAUGUAAAGCUCUAUCAGCAGGGAAGAAAAUGACGGUACCUGACUAAGAAGCUCCGGCUAAAUACGUGCCAGCAGCCGCGGUAAUACGUAUGGAGCAAGCGUUAUCCGGAUUUACUGGGUGUAAAGGGAGCGUAGACGGAUUUGCAAGUCUGAUGUGAAAGCCUGGGGCUCAACCCCGGAACUGCAUUGGAAACUGCAGAUCUUGAGUGCCGGAGAGGUAAGCGGAAUCCUAGUGUAGCGGUGAAAUGCGUAGAUAUUAGGAGGAACACCAGUGGCGAAGGCGGCUUACUGGACGGUAACUGACGUUGAGGCUCGAAAGCGUGGGGAGCAACAGGAUUAGAUACCCUGGUAGUCCACGCGGUAAACGAUGAUUACUAGGUGUUGGGCAGCAAAGCUGUUCGGUGCCGCAGCAAACGCAAUAAGUAAUCCACCUGGGGAGUACGUUCGCAAGAAUGAAACUCAAAGGAAUUGACGGGGACCCGCACAAGCGGUGGAGCAUGUGGUUUAAUUCGAAGCAACGCGAAGAACCUUACCAAGUCUUGACAUCCCGGUGACCGGACAGUAAUGUGUCCUUUUCUUCGGAACACCGGUGACAGGUGGUGCAUGGUUGUCGUCAGCUCGUGUCGUGAGAUGUUGGGUUCAGUCCCGCAACGAGCGCAACCCCUAUCUUCAGUAGCCAGCAUUUAGGAUGGGCACUCUGGAGAGACUGCCAGGGAUAACCUGGAGGAAGGUGGGGAUGACGUCAAAUCAUCAUGCCCCUUAUGACUUGGGCUACACACGUGCUACAAUGGCGUAAACAAAGGGAAGCGAGCCUGCGAGGGGGAGCAAAUCUCAAAAACACGCUCCCAGUUCGGACUGCAGUCUGCAACUCGACUGCACGAAGCUGGAAUCGCUAGUAAUCGCGAAUCAGAAUGUCGCGGUGAAUACGUUCCCGGGUCUUGUACACAC
rnacentral:rRNA from 1 species